rnacentral:rRNA from 1 species
GAUGAACGCUGGCGGCGUGCCUAAUACAUGCAAGUCGAGCGAACAGACGAGGAGCUUGCUCCUCUGACGUUAGCGGCGGACGGGUGAGUAACACGUGGAUAACCUACCUAUAAGACUGGGAUAACUUCGGGAAACCGGAGCUAAUACCGGAUAAUAUAUUGAACCGCAUGGUUCAAUAGUGAAAGACGGUUUUGCUGUCACUUAUAGAUGGAUCCGCGCCGCAUUAGCUAGUUGGUAAGGUAACGGCUUACCAAGGCGACGAUGCGUAGCCGACCUGAGAGGGGGAUCGGCCACACUGGAACUGGAACACGGUCCAGACUCCUACGGGAGGCAGCAGUAGGGAAUCUUCCGCAAUGGGCGAAAGCCUGACGGAGCAACGCCGCGUGAGUGAUGAAGGUCUUCGGAUCGUAAAACUCUGUUAUUAGGGAAGAACAAAUGUGUAAGUAACUAUGCACGUCUUGACGGUACCUAAUCAGAAAGCCACGGCUAACUACGUG